rnacentral:rRNA from 2 species
UACGAACUGUGCGAACGUUAUUCGGAAUCACUGGGCUUAAAGGGUGCGUAGGCGGUUUUCUAAGUCAGGUGUGAAAUCUUCCGGCUCAACCGGAAAACUGCGCCUGAUACUGGAGGACUGGAGUGAGGCAGGGGUGUGUGGAACUUCCGGUGGAGCGGUGAAAUGUGUAGAUAUCGGAAGGAACGCCAGCAGCGAAAGCGGCACACUGGGCCUUUUCUGACGCUGAGGCACGAAAGCCAGGGGAGCGAACGGG